rnacentral:lncRNA from 1 species
ACGGAGCUCAGCUGGGUGGGACCAGAAACCACGUCUGGGCACUCCUGAGUCACAGGCUCAGAAGCUUUCGCCUCCGCCUUCAGACUGGCCCUCAGGCUUCCCUGCUCAGAGGCAGGGAAUUGUGCAGCUGGAGUUUCAUUUUCCAAGUGGGGACCUAUUGCUCACAGGAAGAAAAAAACAGCGUCCUUAUUUUGUGACUUCUGGCAACUGUCUUUUUCCGAGGAAGCCCCUUCCCUUCUGCCCUGCCUCUGAGUUCAAGCCGGGAUGCAGCUCCUAGUGUUUUCAAGCGUCUUACAGAUGGAGAUCAGCCCCGUCUUCCUCCAACGUCCCCACCCCGCAUCGGAGUCAGGACUCCACGGUGCUGUGGUCAGCACGGCUGCAUGGUCCUGCGACCCUGAGCCCCAGUGGGCUCUGACUGUGGUUACCAGCGCCUUAGGAGACAGAGUAACAGUCUGGAAGCAGAAACAGAGACUG